AUGCUUCAGCAGCCCAUAUACUAAAAUUGGAAUGAUACAGCAUGACCCCUGUGCAAGGAUAACACACAAACUCAUGAAGCGUUCCAUAUUUCU
rnacentral:snRNA from 1 species